UCUCUUCCUCUUCGUUUCUAUUUCCCACACGCUCACUUAAUUCAAAAUCCAAAAUCAACACUCUCUUUGUAAAAUCCAAAAUCAACGGUCUCUUACUUGUGAUCCUCUUCCUUCCCUUUUGCUCCUCUCUGCGUCUUUCGCAUUGUUCUUUUUUAAUAUUUUCUGUUUGGGUUUAAAGCUAUCUCCGGGUUGUGCUGUAUUUUUCCAUUCUUGUGAUUAUUCCUCUAAUCUUAAUUUGGCAAAUGCAUACAUAUUUUUCCUAAUUGGACUUUUAUGGGUAUCUGGUAGCUUUUCUCUUCUUUUGGGUUGUUUUUGUUGGAAUUUCUUCGUGCAUGUUGGUAAUUUUGUCUGAUUUGCUCGUGUGUUGUUUUUUCCUCGCAAUCAAGCAAUUUUACUUGCAUCGCCCCAAUAUUCUUGAACUGGGUUUUUCUUUUCUUUAAAGUUAUUAUUUUGUCUUUGUUAUUUUUAUGAGAUUUUAAUUAAACUGAAUAGUUUGUCAUUAUAUUUGAUGUUUUAUUUUGAAGAAGAUGAACUUCAGUUGAUUUUUCCUUGAAGAUUAAGCUUAGUUGACUUGUUUUUUGCCAAAAUAUUGAUUUUAGUGAACAUAUUUGCUUGAGAUUUGAUUGCUUCUUAAAUAAAUUCUCAAUGUUGCUUUGAGUUUUAUCAAUGAUUUGAUCUUCUCUUUUAAAAGAUGAAUAUAAGUUGAUUUCUUAAAAAUUAUGUUCAUGUAGUUGAAUUAUUUCGAAGAAAUCUUGAUUCUACUGUACAAAUUUGUUGCUUGAGUUGAAUUUUUUCCUUAAAAUUAUUUUGUUUGCACUUGAAGGCGAAUAUUCUGCUUUAUGAGUCAACCGCUUCUUAGGAGUGUUCGUGCUACUAAACAUUUUGUUCACUAUACUAAUUUUCCUUCCAUCCUUUUGUAUCUCAUUUUAGAACUAUUCAUUUGUUCAUGUGUAUAUUAGAAGUGUCAUGCUUUAAGAAUAUUGAUUAGAGUGUUAUAAAAUUUCAGUCUCAAAAGUACAUUUUCAAGAUUAUAUUAAGCUGUAAAAUAUAGUUAACCAUAUUUGGUUAAAUAGACUUGCAUGGUUGAUUGUCUGAUAACAUAUGUUUUUCUAUCACUUCACUUCUUGCCUUUCGGCUCUGAUUGUUUGUGGCUUAUAUUGUUUUUGUGGAUUAAUUCCUCACACACAUGAGCUAGCACUUUGUGAUUUUGGGAGUGAUAAGAUAUUGGGCCAUUGAGGUGAUUUCAGGACUAUGGACUAUACAAAUGUAGGUGACAUAUGUAUUAUGCCCGUUGCGCUAUUCAUAAGUUGCGUUGCAAGAGGCUGCAUGAUAUUUUUUGAUACACCGUAUAGGGUUGGGUUGGAUGAAAUGGAGGUUAGUAUCUGGAGUCCUGUGUGACAAAAAAGUGUCAUUGAUACUCAAAGGUAAGUUUUAUAGAGCGGUGGUUAGACCGGCCAUGUUGUAUGGGGUAGAGUGUUGGCCGGUUAAGAACUCACAUAUACAGAAGAUGAAAGUAGCAGAGAUGAGGAUACUGAGGUGGAUGUGUGGGAACACUUGGAUGAAUAAGAUUAGGAAUGAAGAUAUUCGAGAGAAGGUGGGCGUGACUCCUAUAGAUGACAAGAUGCGGGCAGCGAGACUUAGAUGGUUUGGGCACGUGCGUAGGAGGAGCCCUGAUGCCCCGGUAAGAAGGUGUGAGCGGUUGGCUUUGGUGGGAACGAGAAGAGGUAGAACGCGGCCUAAGAAGUAUUGGGGAGAGGUGAUCAGGCAAGACAUGGCGAGGCUUCAGA